AUGCCAGCGAGUCCAGCUCUCCAGGGGCAGUACAUCCCUCCAUACACUCACAUGCAGACCACCACCGUCUCAGUAGAGGAGAACAGUCCACAACCUCAGGUGGAAUCGUCCAGUGAUCAUUCACCGUACACCUAUCAGCAGGCCAAGUGAUGAAGAGGGUUGCCGGGGUUAGAGAACGGAAGGAGACGACUGCUAAAUCAAUAACAGUUUCCUUUGAAGGACCGGCUCUACCGAUGAAUCCACUUUUUGCACAGGUUCUACGAUGAGUUCCUCGGUUUUUAUAAUAAAACUACUUCAACUAUUUUGGUAUAAGUUCCAUUAGGUGCAAAUCA
rnacentral:lncRNA from 12 species